UACGAAGGGUGCAAACGUUGCUCGGAAUUAUUGGGCGUAAAGCGCACGUAGGCGGCUCUGUAUGUUGGAUGUGAAAACCCUCGGCUCAACCAAGGAAGUGCAUCCAAAACUGCGGAGCUUGAGUACUUAAGAGGAUCGCGGAAUUCCCGGUGUAGAGGUGAAAUUCGUAGAUAUCGGGAGGAACACCAGUGGCGAAGGCGGCGAUCUGGGAAGAUACUGACGCUGAGGUGCGAAAGCGUGGGGAGCAAACAGGG
rnacentral:rRNA from 1 species